AUUGAACGCUGGCGGCAUGCCUUACACAUGCAAGUCGAACGGUAGAGGGGGCAACCCCUCGAGAGUGGCGAACGGGUGAGUAAAGCAUCGGAACGUGCCCAGUAGUGGGGGAUAGCCCGGCGAAAGCCGGAUUAAUACCGCAUGAGACCUACGGGUGAAAGGGGGGGAUCGCAAGACCUCUCGCUAUUGGAGCGGCCGAUGUCGGAUUAGGUAGUUGGUGGGGUAAAGGCCUACCAAGCCGACGAUCUGUAGCUGUUCUGAGGGGACGACUAGCCACACUGGGACUGAGACACGGCCCAGACUCCUACGGGAGGCAGCAGUGGGGAAUUUUGGACAAUGGGCGCAAGCCUGAUCCAGCAAUGCCGCGUGCAGGAUGAGGGCCUUCGGGUUGUAAAGUGCUUUUGUACGGAACGAAAAGCCCUGGGUUAAUACCCUGGGGUCAUGACGGUACCGUAAGAAUAAGCACCGGCUAACUACGUGCCAGCCGCCGCCGUAACAC
rnacentral:rRNA from 1 species